rnacentral:rRNA from 1 species
AUUGAACGCUGGCGGAAUGCUUUACACAUGCAAGUCGAACGGCAGCACGGGUGCUUGCACCUGGUGGCGAGUGGCGAACGGGUGAGCAACAUAUCGGAACGUGCCCAGUAAUGGGGAUAACUAACCGAAAGGUUAGCUAAUACCGCAUACGCCCUGAGGGGGAAAGCGGGGGAUCGAAAGACCUCGCGUUAUUGGAGCGGCCGAUAUCUGAUUAGCUAGUUGGUAGGGUAAAGGUCUACCAAGGCGACGAUCAGUAGCUGGUCUGAGGGGAUGAUCAGCCACACUGGGACUGAGACACGGCCCAGACUCCUACGGGAGGCAGCAGUGGGGAAUUUUGGACAAUGGGCGAAAGCCUGAUCCAGCCAUUCCGCGUGAGUGAAGAAGGCCUUCGGGUUGUAAAGCUCUUUCGGCAGGAACGAAACGCUCUAGAUUAAUACUCUGGGGUAAUGACGGUACCUGAAGAAGAAGCACCGGCUAACUACGUGCCAGCAGCCGCCGUAAGAC